rnacentral:miRNA from 1 species
GAUAUUCGCCGUCAUAAAUACGAUCAACUUUGGUGUUUAUCACGUCGACGUUAUAAACACGAUCAACUUUGGUGUUUAUGACCUCGAUAUUCGACUUCAUAAACGCGAUCAACUUUGGUGUUUAUGACGUCGAUAUUCGACAUCAUAAACACGAUCAAAUUAGGUGUUUAUGACGUCGAUAUUCUACAUCAUAAACACGAUCAACUUUGGUGUUUAUGACGCCGACGUUAUAAACACGAUCAACUUUGGUGUUUAUGACGUCCAUAUUC